rnacentral:rRNA from 1 species
CCUACGGGUGGCAGCAGUGAGGAAUAUUGGUCAAUGGGCGCGAGCCUGAACCAGCCAAGUCGCGUGAGGGAAGACGGUCCUAUGGAUUGUAAACCUCUUUUGUCGAGGAGCAAAAGACGCCACGCGUGGCGUUCCGAGAGUACCCGAAGAAAAAGCAUCGGCUAACUCCGUGCCAGCAGCCGCGGUAAUACGGAGGAUGCGAGCGUUAUCCGGAUGUAUUGGGUGUAAAGGGUGCGCAGGCGGAAGAUCAAGUCAGCGGUAAAAUUGAGAGGCUCAACCUCUUCGAGCCGUUGAAACUGGUUUUCUUGAGUGAGUGAGAAGUAUGCGGAAUGCGUGGUGUAGCGGUGAAAUGCAUAGAUAUCACGCAGAACUCCGAUUGCGAAGGCAGCAUACCGGCGCUCAACUGACGCUCAUGCACGAAAGUGUGGGUAUCGAACAGGAUUAGAUACCCGGGUAGUC